GUUUUGAUAAAACUACCAUGUUAACGUAGCGUCAGUUGCAAAUGGCCCCCAAUUGAGGUGUCGGCUGGGUUUUGAGCAUCAGAAACUGUCCACUUCAUAUUUGCCAUCGCGUUGAGGUUUUGAUGCAGAGUCUCAGGGUCAUAAUAUAAAUGGGCUUGGGCUUGAUUGUUAAGUGAAAAAAUUUAAAAUGGGCUUGGGCUUGAUGGUUAAGGAAGAAAAGAGUUAAAAUGGGCUUGGCUUAUCUAAAAUUCAACGAAUUCAUUACAUAUCAGAUACAGAGAUUGCAGAGACCAGGCUAUUUUUCUUUUCUUCCUUUUUCUUUUUCCUGCUUGGAUGUGGCCAUACAGGGGAAAAGAGCCCCUAACAUCAAUGGUUCUUACAGGAUUUCCUUGGUAAGUUGCUCACUAACUCCACUGUCUGCUCUCUAAUGCUUGUUUUUUUAUUUUAUUUUCUAAUUUUUUUAUAAUUAAUGAGCAAAAAGAGGAGCAUGGUGGGUGCCUCAACGCUCUCUGUUAAAGCCACAGAUUUGAAUUAAGAUGAUAUAUGAAGAGUUUGCAGGAAAGAUGAAUCUGUCGAGGAUUACGUUUUGCGCAUUAAGAUUGAGGAUGGUUUAAGACUGUUGUUCUUACACAGGCCUGGUGAAGGCUCACAGUAGUACAGUGGGAAGGAACUACAAAAAUUGAAGGCUGUAUGAUCAACUGGGGUAUUCCUUCCAGAAAGAGACCCCCCUGAGAGUUCUCAAUGCUGCAUCAUUUAGUGAACUGAGAGUGAGAAGGCUACAGACAGUUUCUCGCACCAUAUCACAGGGAUUUUCCUCCUGGCUUAUGGCAUUCUCGUGGCAUGAAAACCCUAGAAGAACCGAGUGGAGAGCAGGCCAAAUUAAAGGAUUAAAUGAACCCUUCAUCUAUCUCCACUCCUAGCUCCGAUCAAACCGUAUCAGACUUUGCUCAUCCCAGACAAAUUGGAUAAAAAUUAAGUCCCUCGAAACCAGAUGAUACAGAAUACCCUACCUGUAGAACCAGCCCUAUUUACUAUUAUUUGCUAAAGCAGCUCCCGGCCCCCAAGAAAGCUGCAAGCUCCUCCCUCAAGCGAGUCCCGUCUGCCUUCCCAUUGCUUUAAGCCAACUCCUUUCUCUCCCUGCUCCAAACAGAGACCCCCGGGUCUCCUCCUAUGCCCCCUCCUUAAGUAGAGCUAUCUUUCGUAUAGAGUGCUUAAAUUAAUUCAUCCUGGUGCCAUGUCUCUUUGGAGUUUGGUUGAGCUUGUAGAACAUUUGUAUUUAAGCAGUCGUGUUACUCCUCUGUGCUCCUCGAUGCAUACUCUUCUGGCUUGUAUCAUUUUCUCGUGUUGUUAUUUAAUAAACAUACUUCUAAACUCGAGA